CUCUCCUUACCUGCGUCCUCGGGGGCGUGCGCACCACCCCCCCUCCCGCCUAGGAGGGGGGAGGGCCCCCUCUUGGCCACCGCCUUCGCGGCCUUUAAACUCCCCUGGAGACUGCGGCUACUGCCACCGCCUUGCCUCCACUGCCUCUUCGCGCAGCACACAGAUGCGGACGGUGGGUGGGAAAAAGGGCAGACGCUACUCCCAGCGAACCGCCGCUGCCGCUCCCGAGGCCUCACCAAAAUGGCCGCCGCCGUCUCGGCCGCCACCACCACCACUACCACCACCACUCGCUCGGAAUCGCUAUCGCCGGCGCGGCCCGUCUUCUCGCGAGAGACAAUCACCCAGUAAGCUGCAGCAAGUUAGCAGUGGAACCUGGGCCUCCCGAUUCCCAUGGCAGCCCACUUCUGUAGCGCUGCUUCGUUUUACGCGAGGAUGGUUUCCUGAUAGCUUUCAAACACCUUUGCCAUCUCUUCGCAAACUUUCUAGAUUAAGAAUCCCUUUGAGAAUCUGAUACCUUUACCCCAGAAUAGAACAAUAAAUAACAGCUACCUUCUACUGACA